CACGUAGGGUGCGAGCGUUGUCCGGAAUUAUUGGGCGUAAAGAGCUCGUAGGCGGUGUGUCGCGUCGGCCGUGAAAACCUGCAGCUUAACUGUGGGCUUGCGGUCGAUACGGGCAUCACUGGAGUUCGGCAGGGGAGACUGGAAUUCCUGGUGUAGCGGUGAAAUGCGCAGAUAUCAGGAGGGAACACCGGUGGCCGAAGGCGGGUCUCUGGGCCGAUACUGACGCUGGAGGAGCGGAAAGCCGUGGGGAGCAAACAGG
rnacentral:rRNA from 1 species